rnacentral:rRNA from 1 species
CCCUUAGAUGUUCUGGGCCGCACGCGCGCUACACUGAUGCGUUCAACGAGUCUAAAACCUGGUCUGAUAGGGCUGGGUAAUCUUUUGAAAGUGCAUCGUGAUUGGGAUAGAUGAUUGCAAUUCUUCAUCUUCAACGAGGAAUGCCUAGUAAACGCAAGUCAUCAGCUUGCAUUGAUUACGUCCCUGCCCUUUGUACACACCGCCCGUCGCUCCUACCGAUUGAAUGAUCCGAUGAAUACCAUGGAUUGAGAGUACGAAUGGGUUCGCUCAUUUCUGCUGCUCGAGAAGUGGAGUAAAUCUUAUCAUUUAGAGGAAGGAGAAGUCGUAACA